rnacentral:rRNA from 1 species
GAUGAACGCUAGCUAUAGGCUUAACACAUGCAAGUCGAGGGGAAACGGCAUUAUGUGCUUGCACAUUUUGGACGUCGACCGGCGCACGGGUGAGUAUCGCGUAUCCAACCUGCCCUUUACUUGGGGAUACCCCGUUGAAAGACGGCCUAAUACCCGAUGUAAUUCAUUGAUGGCAUCAGAUAUGAAUAAAAGAUUUAUCGGUAAAGGAUGGGGAUGCGUCUGAUUAGCUUGUUGGUGAGGUAACGGCUCACCAAGGCGACGAUCAGUAGGGGUUCUGAGAGGAAGGUCCCCCACAUUGGAACUGAGACACGGUCAAAACUCCUACGGGAGGCAGCAGUGAGGAAUAUUGGUCAAUGGGCGCAAGCCUGAACCAGCCAAGUAGCGUGCAGGAAGACGGCCCUAUGGGUUGUAAACUGCUUUUAUACGAGAAUAAUUUGAUGCACGUGUGCGUUAUUGCAUGUAUCGUAUGAAUAAGGACCGGCUAAUUCCGUG